GACUGCUUGGCGCAAUGGUAGCGCGCGGUCCUCCUACUAUAUGGGUUUAUCCCUUAUAAUAGGUAGUGAUAGACUGAGGUUGCGGGUUCGAGUCCCGUGGUGGUCG